rnacentral:rRNA from 1 species
GAUGAACGCUAGCGGCAGGCCUAAUACAUGCAAGGCGAAGGGGCAGCAAUGUCACUGUCGUACGGGUGCGUAACGCGUAUGCAACCUACCUAUCACAGGGGAAUAGCCCUUUGGAAACAGGGAUUAAUACCGCAUAAAGCAGGGACACCGCAUGGUGAUAUUGCUAAAGAUUUAUCGGUGAUAGAUGGGCAUGCGUCUGAUUAGUUAGUUGGCAGGGUAACGGCCUACCAAGACGAUGAUCAGUAGGGGCGUCAGAGCGUGGUCCCCCANACUGGCACUGAGAUACGGGCCAGACUCCUACGGGAGGCAGCAGUAGGGAAUAUUGGGCAAUGGAUGCAAGUCUGACCCAGCCAUGUCGCGUGCAGGAAGAAGGUCCUCUGGAUUGUAAACUUCUUUUUUCUGGGGAGAAAUUGCAUCUUUUCUAAGGUGUUUGACGGUACCAGAAGAAUAAGCACCGGCUAACUCCGUGCCAGCAGCCG